rnacentral:misc_RNA from 1 species
GAUGAAGAACGCAGUGAAAUGCGAUAAGUAAUGCGAAUUGCAGAAUUCAGUGAAUCAUCGAAUCUUUGAACGCACAUUGCGCCCCUUGGUAUUCCGAGGGGCAUGCCUGUUCGAGCGUCAUUAUAACCCUCAAGCUCAGCUUGGUGUUGGGGCCUGCUGCACUGGCAGCCCUUAAAAUCAGUGGCGGCGCCAUCUGGCUCUAAGCGUAGUAAUUCUUCUCGCUAUGGAGUCCUGGUGGAUGCUUGCCAUCAACCCCCAAUUUUUCUAUGGUUGACCUCGGAUCAGGUAGGGAUACCCGCUGAACUUAAGCAUAUCAAUAAGCGGAGGA